UACGGAGGGUGCAAGCGUUUAUCCGGAUUCACUGGGUUUAAAGGGUGCGUAGGCGGGCAGGUAAGUCAGUGGUGAAAUCCUUGAGCUUAACUCGAGAACUGCCAUUGAUACUAUCUGUCUUGAAUAUUGUGGAGGUAAGCGGAAUAUGUCAUGUAGCGGUGAAAUGCUUAGAUAUGACAUAGAACACCUAUUGCGAAGGCAGCUUACUACGCAUAUAUUGACGCUGAGGCACGAAAGCUGGGGAUCAAACAGG
rnacentral:rRNA from 1 species